UUAUAAACAGAGUCAGCAGAAACUCUGGGUCAGGGUCAUGAAUGCUACUCAAAUCAGACCUAUGGAUGACAAUGGUUUGAGUGAUCCGUACGUGAUAGUGUACCUACAGCCUCACCUCGUCUUUCCUCAGACUCACUUCCAGAA